AUGAGUGGCGAACGGGUGAGUAACACGUGAACGUAACCUCGCCCCCUUCUUCUGGAAUAACCGCAUAGAAAGUGUGGCUAAGUACGGGAUAUUCUGGGUCUGUCGCAUGGGUGGGCCUGGGAAAGAUUGCGUCCUUUUUUGGUGUUUUUGGUGGGGGAUGGGCUCGCGGCCUAUCAGCUUGUUGGUGGGGUGAUGGCCUACCAAGGCGGUGACGGGUAGCCGGCCUGAGAGGGUGGACGGUCACACUGGGACUGAGACACGGCCCAGACUCCUACGGGAGGCAGCAGUGGGGAAUAUUGCACAAUGGGCGCAAGCCUGAUGCAGCGACGCCGCGUGAGGGAUGGAGGCCUUCGGGUUGUGAACCUCUUUCGCCAGUGAAGCAGGCCUGCCUCGUUUGUGGGUGGGUUGACGGUAGCUGGAUAAGAAGCGCCGGCUAACUAC
rnacentral:rRNA from 1 species